rnacentral:rRNA from 1 species
AGACCCGAAACCCGGUGAUCUAGCCAUGGGCAGGUUGAAGGUUGGGUAACACUAACUGGAGGACCGAACCGACUAAUGUUGAAAAAUUAGCGGAUGACCUGUGGCUGGGGGUGAAAGGCCAAUCAAACCGGGAGAUAGCUGGUUCUCCCCGAAAGCUAUUUAGGUAGCGCCUCGUGAAUUCAUCUCCGGGGGUAGAGCACUGUUUCGGCUAGGGGGCCAUCCCGGCUUACCAACCCGAUGCAAACUGCGAAUACCGGAGAAUGUUAUCACGGGAGACACACGGCGGGUGCUAACGUCCGUCGUGAAGAGGGAAACAACCCAGACCGCCAGCUAAGGUCCCAAAGUCAUGGUUAAGUGGGAAACGAUGUGGGAAGGCCCAGACAGCCAGGAUGUUGGCUUAGAAGCAGCCAUCAUUUAAAGAAAGCGUAAUAGCUCACUGGUCGAGUCGGCCUGCGCGGAAGAUGUAACGGGGCUAAACCAUGCACCGAAGCUGCGGCAGCGACACUCAGGUGUUGUUGGGUAGGGGAGCGUUCUGUAAGCCUGCGAAGGUGGCCUGUGAGGGUUGCUGGAGGUAUCAGAAGUGCGAAUGCUGACAUAAGUAACGAUAAA